AAACUGAAGAGUUUGAUCCUGGCUCAGAACGAACGCUGGCGGCGUGGCUAAGGCAUGCAAGUCGAACGGAUCUAGAUUGGGGGUAACCCCGGCCUAGGUUAGUGGCGAACGGGUGAGUAAUUCAUGGAUAACGUACCCCGGAUUCAGGGAUAACGGCGGGAACUUCGGUUCCCUUUGCGAAAGUGUCGCUAAUACCUGAUGACCCCGCGAGAUCGCAUGAUCUUGCGGGCAAAGUUCCGGCGAUCCGGGAGCGGUCCAUGUCCUAUCAGCUUGUUGGUGGGGUAACGGCCUACCAAGGCAACGACGGGUAUCGGGUGUGAGAGCAUGACCCGACACAUCGGAACUGAGACACUGUCCGGACACCUACGGGUGGCUGCAGCAACGAAUAUUCCGCAAUGGACGAAAGUCUGACGGAGCGACGCCGCGUGCAGGAUGAAUUCCCUCGGGAUGUAAACUGCUGUCAGGGGUUAGAAAGAUCUGAUCAACCCCAAAGGAAGCCUCGGCUAACUACGUGCCAGCAGCCGCGGUAAUACGUAGGAGGCAAGCGUUGUUCGGAAUCACUGGGCUUAAAGAGCGUGUAGGCGGGGUGGUAGGUGUCUUGUGAAAUCCCUCGGCUCAACCGAGGAACGGCUCGACAAACCCCCACUCUUGAGGCAGGUAGAGGCAAGCGGAACCAUGGGUGGAGCGGUGAAAUGCGUAGAGAUCCAUGGGAACACCGGUGGCGAAGGCGGCUUGCUGGACCUGUUCUGACGCUGAGACGCGAAAGCGUGGGUAGCAAACAGGAUUAGAUACCCUGGUAGUCCACGCCGUAAACGAUGCGCACUAGGUAUGAGAGGUUCUGACGCCGAUCGUGCCGAAGCAAAAGUGAUAAGUGCGCCGCCUGGGGAGUACGGCCGCAAGGCUAAAACUCAAAGGAAUUGACGGGGGCUCACACAAGCGGUGGAGCAUGUGGAUUAAUUCGAAGCAACGCGAAGAACCUUACCUGGGUUUGACAUGCACGGAUGCCCUUGAUGAAAGUCGAGUAAGCUGCCUUCGGGUGAAACGUGCACAGGUGCUGCAUGGCUGUCGUCAGCUCGUGCUGUGAAGUGUCGGGUUAAGUCCCUUAACGAGCGAAACCCCUGUCGUUAGUUGCCAGCGCGUCAUGGCGGGGACUCUAACGAGACUGCCGGCGUUAAGCCGGAGGAAGGUGGGGAUGACGUCAAGUCCUCAUGGCCUUUAUGCCCAGGGUGUCACACGUGCUACAAUGGCCGGUACAGAGCGACGCGAUACCGCGAGGUGGAGCAAAUCGCACAAAGCCGGCCCUAGUUCGGAUUGGAGUCUGCAAUUCGACUCCAUGAAGUUGGAAUCGCUAGUAAUCGCGUAUCAGCCACGACGCGGUGAAUGUGUUCCUGAGCCUUGUACACACCGCCCGUCAAGUCAUGGAAGCUGGGAGCGCCCGAAGUCCGAUCCGCCAACCUGCAAGGGAGGCGUCGGCCGACGGUGAGCUCGGUGACUGGGACUAAGUCGUAACAAGGUAGCCGUAGGGGAACCUGUGGCUGGAUCACCUCCUUU
rnacentral:rRNA from 1 species